CCCUUAGAUGUUCUGGGCCGCACGCGCGCUACAAUGGCAGACUCAGCGAGUUACCUCUGUCGAAAGGCACAGGGAAUCUUUACAGUAUCUACCGUGAUGGGGAUAGACCCUUGUAAUUUUUGGUCUUCAACGAGGAAUUCCUAGUAAACGCAAGUCAUUAACUUGCAUUGAUUACGUCCCUGCCCUUUGUACACACCGCCCGUCGCACCUACCGAUUGAAUGGUCCGGUGAAGUCCUCGGACCCAGUUGAACCUCGAGUUGAACAGGGAAAGUUGACUAAAUCUUACCAUUUAGAGGAAGGUGAAGUCGUAACA
rnacentral:rRNA from 1 species